GAUGAACGCUGGCGGCGUGCCUAAUACAUGCAAGUCGAGCGAACAGACGAGGAGCUUGCUCCUCUGACGUUAGCGGCGGACGGGUGAGUAACACGUGGAUAACCUACCUAUAAGACUGGGAUAACUUCGGGAAACCGGAGCUAAUACCGGAUAACAUGUUGAACCGCAUGGUUCAACAGUGAAAGACGGUCUUGCUGUCACUUAUAGAUGGAUCCGCGCCGCAUUAUCUAGUUGGUAAGGUAACGGCUUACCAAGGCAACGAUGCGUAGCCGACCUGAGAGGGUGAUCGGCCACACUGGAACUGAGACACGGUCCAGACUCCUACGGGAGGAAGCAGUAGGGAAUCUUCCGCAAUGGGCGAAAGCCUGACGGAGCAACGCCGCGUGAGUGAAGAAGGUCUUCGGAUCGUAAAACUCUGUUAUUAGGGAAGAACAAAUGUGUAAGUAACUAUGCACGUCUUGACGGUACCUAAUCAGAAAGCCACGGCUAACUACGUG
rnacentral:rRNA from 1 species